rnacentral:rRNA from 1 species
AAGAUGGUUUUGCUAUCACUUAUAGAUGGACCCGCGCCGUACUAGCUAGUUGGUAAGGUAACGGCUUACCAAGGCGACGAUACGUAGCCGACCUGAGAGGGUGAUCGGCCACACUGGAACUGAGACACGGUCCAGACUCCUACGGGAGGCAGCAGUAGGGAAUCUUCCGCAAUGGGCGAAAGCCUGACGGAGCAACGCCGCGUGAGUGAUGAAGGUCUUCGGAUCGUAAAACUCUGUUAUUAGGGAAGAACAUACGUGUAAGUAACUAUGCACGUCUUGACGGUACCUAAUCAGAAAGCCACGGCUAACUACGUGCCAGCAGCCGCGGUAAUACGUAGGUGGCAAGCGUUAUCCGGAAUUAUUGGGCGUAAAGCGCGCGUAGGCGGUUUUUUAAGUCUGAUGUGAAAGCCCACGGCUCAACCGUGGAGGGUCAUUGGAAACUGGAAAACUUGAGUGCAGAAGAGGAAAGUGGAAUUCCAUGUGUAGCGGGUGAAAUGCGCAGAGAUAUGGAGGAACACCAGUGGCGAAGGCGACUUUCUGGUCUGUAACUGACGCUGAUGUGCGAAAGCGUGGGGGAUCAAACAGGGAUUAGAUACCCUGGUA